AUUGAACGCUGGCGGCAGGCCUAACACAUGCAAGUCGAGCGAGUGGCGGACGGGUGAGUAAUGUCUGGGAAACUGCCCGAUGGAGGGGGAUAACUACUGGAAACGGUAGCUAAUACCACAUACCAUCGGAUGUCCCAAGAGGGGAUUAGCUGGUAGGUGAGGUAACGCCUUACCUAGGCGACGAUCCCUGGCUGGGCUGAGAGGAGGACCAGCCACACUGGAACUGAGACACGGUCCAGACUCCUACGGGGGGCAGCAGUGGGGAAUAUUGCACAAUGGGCGCAAGCCUGAUGCAGCCAUGCCGCGUGUAUGAAGAAGGCCUUCGGGUUGUAAAGUACUUUCAGCGGGGAGGCGUUACCCGCAGAAGAAGCACCGGCUAACUACGUGCCAGCAGCCGCGGUAAUUC
rnacentral:rRNA from 1 species